rnacentral:rRNA from 1 species
GUACACGCUGUGACUAGCAUAUCAAUAAGCGGAGGAAAAGAAACUAACAAGGAUUCCCUUAGUAACGGCGAGUGAAGCGGGAAGAGCUCAAAUUUGAAAUCUUGAAAGGUCACCUUUCACGAAUUGUAGUUUAAAGAAGUGUUUUCUGUUACGAUCGUAAUAUAAGUUCUUUGGAAUAGGACAUCACAGAGGGUGAGAAUCCCGUCUAUGAUUGCGAUUUGUAGCUUUGUGAUACACUUUCAAAGAGUCGGGUUGUUUGGGAAUGCAGCCCAAAACGGGAGGUAAAUUUCUUCUAAGGCUAAAUAUUGGCGAGAGACCGAUAGCGAACAAGUACCGUGAGGGAAAGAUGAAAAGAACUUUGAAAAGAGAGUUAAAUAGUACGUGAAAUUGUCAAAAGGGAAGCGUUUAACACCAGUGUUGUUUUCUGAAAAUCAACCUCUGUUAGCUUUAUGCAUGUUUGUUUAGACCUAAUCAGCUAUCUUUCAUGUUCUAUUGUUUGCAGUGGUGCACUUUUCAGUUUACAGGUCAACAUCAGUUUUUUUUACCGUAAAAAGUUAAAGAAAGGUAGCUCAUGGCUCCGGUCGUGAGUGUUAUAGUCUUUUUCCUAUGCGGUAGGAGAGACUGAGGUCUGCAGUGUAGGCUAUUUGGCUAGAUACUCAGGUGCUAUGUGAUACCAUUUCAUAAACAACUUGUUGAUUAUGUUUUGUCUAUUGCAUACUCGCUUGUACUAUCAUACCUACGCUUAGGAUGUUGAGUAGCGACAUACGCAC